AUUGAACGCUGGCGGCAGGCUUAACACAUGCAAGUCGAGCGGGGGAAGGUAGCUUGCUACCGGACCUAGCGGCGGACGGGUGAGUAAUGCUUAGGAAUCUGCCCAUUAGUGGGGGACAACAUCUCGAAAGGGAUGCUAAUACCGCAUACGUCCUACGGGAGAAAGCAGGGGAUCUUCGGACCUUGCGCUAAUAGAUGAGCCUAAGUCGGAUUAGCUAGUUGGGGGGGUAAAGGCCUACCAAGGCGACGAUCUGUAGCGGGUCUGAGAGGAUGCUCCACCCACGUGGAACGAGGACGCGGCCCUGAACCUCGGGGGGGGCGGAAGGGGGGAAUUUUGGACAAGGGGGGGAACCUGGUCCCAGCCAUGCCGGGUUUGUGAGGAAGUCUUUAUGGUUGUAAAGCAUUUUAAGCGAGGAGGAGGCUACUCUAGUUAAUACCUGGGGAUAGUGGACGUUACUCGAAAAAUAAGCACCGGCUAACUCUGUGCCAGCCGCCGCCGUAA
rnacentral:rRNA from 1 species